AUUGAACGCUGGCGGCAGGCCUAACACAUGCAAGUCGAGCGGCAGCGGGAAGUAGCUUGCUACUUUGCCGGCGAGCGGCGGACGGGUGAGUAAUGUCUGGGAAACUGCCUGAUGGAGGGGGAUAACUACUGGAAACGGUAGCUAAUACCGCAUGACCUCGCAAGAGCAAAGUGGGGGACCUUCGGGCCUCACGCCAUCGGAUGUGCCCAGAUGGGAUUAGCUAGUAGGUGRGGUAAUGGCUCACCUAGGCGACGAUCCCUAGCUGGUCUGAGAGGAUGACCAGCCACACUGGAACUGAGACACGGUCCAGACUCCUACGGGAGGCAGCAGUGGGGAAUAUUGCACAAUGGGCGCAAGCCUGAUGCAGCCAUGCCGCGUGUGUGAAGAAGGCCUUAGGGUUGUAAAGCACUUUCAGCGAGGAGGAAGGCGCUGUAGUUAAUAGCUGCAGCGAUUGACGUUACUCGCAGAAGAAGCACCGGCUAACUCCGUGC
rnacentral:rRNA from 1 species